rnacentral:rRNA from 1 species
AUUGAACGCUGGCGGCAUGCCUUACACAUGCAAGUCGAACGGUAACGCGGGGCAACCUGGCGACGAGUGGCGAACGGGUGAGUAAUGCAUCGGAACGUGCCCAAUAGUGGGGGAUAGCCCGGCGAAAGCCGGAUUAAUACCGCAUACGACCUACGGGUGAAAGCAGGGGAUCGCAAGACCUUGCGCUAAUGGAGCGGCCGAUGUCAGAUUAGGUUGUUGGUGGGGUAAAAGCCCACCAAGCCGACGAUCUGUAGCUGGUCUGAGAGGACGACCAGCCACACGGGGACUGAGACACGGCCCAGACUCCUACGGGAGGCAGCAGUGGGGAAUUUUGGACAAUGGGCGCAAGCCUGAUCCAGCCAUGCCGCGUGCGGGAUGAAGGCCUUCGGGUUGUAAACCGCCUUUGUUAGGGAAGAAAUCUUUUGAGCUAAUACCUCGGAAGGAUGACGGUACCUAAAGAAUAAGCACCGGCUAACUACGUGCCAGCCGCCGCCGUAA